rnacentral:rRNA from 1 species
GAUGAACGCUGGCGGCGUGCUUAACACAUGCAAGUCGAACGAUGAAGCCCAGCUUGCCGGGUGGAUUAGUGGCGAACGGGUGAGUAACACGUGAGUAACCUGCCCUUAACUCUGGGAUAAGCCUGGGAAACUGGGUCUAAUACCGGAUAGGAGCGUCCACCGCAUGGUGGGUGUUGGAAAGAUUUAUCGGUUUUGGAUGGACUCGCGGCCUAUCAGCUUGUUGGUGAGGUAAUGGCUCACCAAGGCGACGACGGGUAGCCGGCCCGAGAGGGUGACCGGCCACACUGGGACUGAGACACGGCCCAGACUCCUACGGGAGGCAGCAGUGGGGAAUAUUGCACAAUGGGCGCAAGCCUGAUGCAGCGACGCCGCGUGAGGGAUGACGGCCUUCGGGUUGUAAACCUCUUUCAGUAGGGAAGAAGCGAAAGUGACGGUACCUGCAGAAGAAGCACCGGCUAACUACGUG